rnacentral:tRNA from 1 species
GCUGGUGUGGCUCAGUCGGUAGAGCAAUUGAUUCGUAAUCAAUAGGUCGGGGGUUCGAUUCCCUUCACCAGCACCA